GACGACGCUGGCGGCGUGGAUUAGGCAUGCAAGUCGAACGGUAUCAUCCUUCGGGGGUGAGAGAGUGGCGAACUGGUGAGUAACACGUAGGUUAUCUACCCUCAAGACGGGGACAACCCAGGGAAACUUGGGUUCUAAUACCGGAUGUGAGCAACUUUUAGUUGUUUGAAAGGUGGCGUAAGCUGUCGCUUGGGGAUGAGCCUGCGUCCUAUUAGUUAGUUGGUGAGGUAACGGCUCACCUAGGCAAUGAUAGGUAGGCGGCCUUAACGGGUGGUCGCCCACACUGGGAUUGAGAUACGGCCCAGACUCCUACGGGAGGCAGCAGUCGAGAAUAGUCUACAAUGGUCGGAAGACUGAUAGUGCGACGCCGCGUGAACGAUGAAUCCCUUCGGGGUGUAAAGUUCUUUUAUAUGUGAGCAGUGCUUCUUAUAUUAACAGUAUGGGGAGAGAGAUAUUAGCAUAUGAAUAAGCAACGGCUAACUCCGUG
rnacentral:rRNA from 1 species